CCUACGGGGGGCAGCAGUAGGGAAUCUUUCACAAUGGGCGAAAGCCUGAUGGAGCAACGCCGCGUGCAGGAUGCAGGCCUUCGGGUUGUAAACUGCUUUUAUAAGCGAGAAAUAUGAUGGUAACUUAUGAAUAAGGAUCGGCUAACUCCGUGCCAGCAGCCGCGGUCAUACGUAGGAUCCGAGCAUUAUCCGGAGUGACUGGGUGUAAAGAGUUGCGUAGGUGGCAUAAUAAGUAGCUAGUGAAAUCUGGUGGCUCAACCAUUCAGACUAUUAGCUAAACUGUUAAGCUCGAGACCGUUAGGGGUAACUGGAAUUUGUAGUGUAGGAGGGAAAGCCGUAGAUAUUAGAAGGAACACCAAUAGCGUAGGCAGGUUGCUGGGACGGUUCUGACACGAAGGCACGAAAGCGUAGGGAGCAAACGGGAUUAGAUACCCCUGUAGUC
rnacentral:rRNA from 1 species